GCUGGAGGUGAAAGGGCAUUGGGAGAUAUAAAGUGUUUGUCGUCGCUUGUGGUGUAUGUGAACUGCGAAGCUGGCCUUCAAUUAGAUUCUGAAUAAAGGAAGCAACAGCCAGCUACACCUCUCCCAAAUGGCCAGCAUUUGGCCAACAAAUGCAAAAGUGACGACCUAAUAGAGAAUUGAGCUACUAUUGUCAUCAUAGCAGGUGCUUGCUGUUAUUUUCCACCUUCAUCCCAGCUUUUCAUCACCAUCUUUUUUCCUACUCAUAACUCACCUUUAUCUCUUAUUCCAAAAUACUUUUCUUGAACUUAAUCAUCUUUUCCCUCAAUCAACAUCACAAAAAUGAUCUGAAUCCAACUGCCACCGUCCUCAAAGAACCCAUACCAUCCACUGAUUGUCAAAUCAAGUGGGAAGAACAGGUAAAUCAAAUCCAAAAAACUCAACUAAACUCUCUACACGUACAACACCAUAAGUAAAAAUAAGGCGUGAGACAUGCAAAGCAAUGAACAUAUCUCCAUGGCAGUAACCACACAUCAAAACGAUACACAUGGGAAAAUGACAUCGUUUUUUAUCAUAGGUGUGUGAGAAGGAAGACAGCAACAGGAAGGGAGCUCAACUCCCUAAAAACGCAGCACUUUCUCCCUGCACAGUUUGUGUAUCCAAUCUAAUAGAUGCCAAAAAACAUAUUAGCCCUCCAAUUGAACCAUAAACACUAAAUUACCCUCCAAAUUGGCACUAUUGAAACAACAAUGCCAAUUUUUCUCCGAAAAUUAUGUUCUUUAAUGUAUAUUAUUUCAUAAAUUUCUUUUUAAAAAUGAGCUCACAGCACUGCUGGCAAAUUUCUUGUUCUAAUAGCCAUAUAGCAAUUGAUAAAGAAGAGUGCGAAAAGAGACUAUUUACUCAAAGCCACACUCUCCAUAACUGAAUUUAUUCAAGGUACCAGAUGUACUCGAGACUCAAGAGGCCAAGAUCUACACUACUAUAGACCACUGAGCACGGAGAACUUCAGAAGCUAUUUUGUUGCAGUUAAAAGAUAUACCAAAACAUUCAAUUUGAGUCAAACUUGAAAAACUAAAUUGUUUUAUCAAAAAUGUGUACAUUAUAAGUUUUUGUUUCUCCAAUUACAAGAUAAUGGAAAAUAAGCUAUUACUCUUACUUACAUUGCUUUAGCCAAUACCUUGCUCAAGACAAUAAAAAUUCACUCACUGCAAGAUAAGGGCGAAGGCAAACAGGAACCUCAUGUUCUUCUGGUCCCACACAAUGUUUUGGCACCAUGAUUUCAAGACCUGUUCCUGUUUCAUCCCCAUGUGCUUCUAGCUUAGCAUCAUCUGGAAUCCGGGUUGGUAAAGGGAUUUCCCUAAUGAAUUCCCCUGACGGGCAGUGCUCAGGAGAUGGAUCAGUGAGCUUGAAUGUUCUGUCAUUUCUCUUGAUGAAAGGCAUGCAGGCUGUGCUCACUGAUGAAAUCUUCACAAUAGCAUGAGUCAAAUUAUUCCACCAAGUAACUUUCACCCUUUUAAGAUCAGCAAAAGGCAAGCUAACAAUUAUUAGAUACCCUUGUUCAUCCUCAUAUAUAGUUUUUGCACCUGUGACAGGACCAUACACAUUCCUCAUUACCCCACUAAAGUCAUUUAACCAGGGUGGUUCAAUUGAGUGGAUUUCUGCAUCUUGAAUUCUAUCAUUAUGUUGAUUCAUAAGCAAACAACAAUCUUCAUCAUUUCCAUGCAGGAAUAAAUCCUUCUUCCUCUUGUUGCAAACAGGUGAGAGAUCCAUUCCACUACCAUUUGUGAGGUUUGACGGUCCAGUUAAUAAAUUCAAGCCAGACCCAUUAAGUAAUUUCUUUGAAUUAGUAUUCAAAAUCCUUAAUGGAGGAAGGGGUCUCUCAAGCUCAAAUUCUAUGUUGGGAAGGUUCCUCCAUGAACAAAAUUCACUUGCUUCCGGGGGGACAGAAAAAUUUAAAUCCCUUCCAGUAAGUUCCAUCCAUCUCUUUUGCUCUUCUUCAUCAAGACCCUCCAAAUUGGGUGAUGAGACAACUUCAAUCGCAUGCACACAUUGAGGAUUCGAAAGGCCCCUAUAAUGCUUCCUCUGCAUUCUGUGAGAUCGAACAAAUCCCUUUUCAACACUGAAAGGAAAUGGACGCUCUCCUUGGAGACAGUGCCCGUUCAUAUAACUACGCAACUGCAUCUUACCCAAUGCAUUCUCAGGCCUUUCCUUAAAAACCCACAUAUACAUAUUCUCCAUAUCAUGCUGAACCAAGAACACAGCAAGCUCAAGAUCCAACUUAUCAAACACAGAAACACAAUUACCAUCCAACACGAUCUUGCAUUUCGACUUGUCAUUUAAUACAGGUUUAAAAUAGUAACUGAAGAAAAACCAAGCACCCUAUACACUAUCCAAUCUCUUAGAGCAUUUUCGUCCAGCCCUGGGCAGCUUGAGAAAAGUAUCAGACUCGUUAUUUUGGGGUCCAAGGCUAACAUCCAAUAUAUCAAAAGGGUCCAAAUUCCAGGAUGGCGGAGGAGGACUACGCUCAGCAGAUAGUGGAAGAUUAAUAUCAGGGGGCCUAGAAAGAAUUAUCGUCCUAUUCAUCUCUCUGUCCAAUUCCUCAUGAGAAACAGAACUAGAAUCCAUGGAUAAGAGUGUUGAUGGGAGGUGAUUCUCAAUAGACAGACUAGUAAUCAAAUCUUCUCCCAUUUCAAUAAGCCUUAUCAGCCAAAUGGGUAUUAAUUCUUCUGGUCUAAAAAAACUUCGAACCUACAAAGUACAUACCCACCUCAUAUGACACAAAAGCUAAAUGAAACACAAAGCAACACCAUGAUCAAACCUGCACUUAAAAAUUGGCGAAAGAUCAAACUAUUGAAAGCCAAAAUAAGAACAGAUGAUUGUAAUCCUAUUCCGAAGCAUAAAAUUAGUUAGAAAUUUUACACUUAAUAACAAACAAGGGCGACCCAAGAUAUCAACAGUGAUGAAAUUGAGAGGGCUAAGACAAAAUCGAUUUUUUGAGGAGCUAUGCGUUAAAAAAAAAAUUGAAAAGAAAUAGAAUUGGAUCUUGGGAGAUUUACCUCUACAGGAUGGCUCACAAUCAAUCAAUCUACAAAAGAAACAGAGAAAAAAUAGAUUCUCAAACAAUCUCCGUUCUCCAAUAACCAGGCUAGGGAGAGAGAGAAAAGAGACAGAAAGACUGAAAAAAGCAACGAUAACGGUCUCCGUUGAAAAUACCGUCUGAUGUUAUGAGGACAAUAAACAGAUAUCAUUUGCCGUGAACUGAC
rnacentral:misc_RNA from 1 species